rnacentral:rRNA from 1 species
CCUACGGGGGGCAGCAGUGGGGAAUAUUGCACAAUGGGGGAAACCCUGAUGCAGCGACGCCGCGUGAGUGAAGAAGUAUUUCGGUACGUAAAGCUCUAUCAGCCGGGAAGAAAAUGACGGUACCUGACUAAGAAGCCCCGGCUAACUACGUGCCAGCAGCCGCGGUAAUACGUAGGGGGCAAGCGUUACCCGGAUGUACUGGGUGUAAAGGGAGCGUAGACGGCUGCGCAAGUCUGGAGUGAAAUCCCAUGGCUUAACCAUGGAACUGCUUUGGAAACUGGGCAGCUAGAGUGCAGGAGAGGUAAGCGGAAUUCCUAGUGUAGCGGUGAAAUGCGUAGAUAUUAGGAGGAACACCAGUGGCGAAGGCGGCUUACUGGACUGUAACUGACGUUGAGGCUCGAAAGCGUGGGGAGCAAACAGGAUUAGAUACCCUGGUAGUC